UGGACUUAUUUAUUUUUGGGAUUAUAUAUCCCAUUUUUUACACUUUAGCUCCUGUCUUGCCUAUAAUUUUCACUACACUAUCUUCCCUUCUUUUUGUCGUUAAGUUCAGUUUGACCAGGUUGGCUCAAAUCUAGGCUAAGUUUAAGUGAAUUCAAAGAUUAUUAACCUCAAAAGUAGGUACUAGUGAUAAAUGUAGGGUUGGUCAUUUUGGCUCUGUGGGCUUGAGAAAGAAGUGCCUAAAUCAUCUAAUGCGUCUAGACUAUGUACACAGGGUUCAACCAAGUAUCAAGGCAAGUUCUAGCUUUACCCUAGUCAAGAUAUCAAUAUACGCACAAGAAAGAAAAGUUAUUAUAGGCAUAAUACAAUAUUUA
rnacentral:lncRNA from 1 species